rnacentral:lncRNA from 1 species
GAGGCUCAUUUGUUCAUUCUGCUCAUCUUUAUAUUUGGGAAUGACCCUGAAUUAUCUUUGCCUAGAAGUAAAAUUCCCAAAUUGAGUUCAGUUCUGCAUGAGCCUCCACGAAACCACCCAUAAAACCCCACCCCCGUCAUUAAAAAAAAAAAAAAAACCCUCUAUAUUUUUGCUCCAUGGGUAUCAGGUUCUGAAAGAUUUUGUCUACCAAAGUGUAUAUUAUCUAUUAUCUUACAGUAUCAUUUAUUAUCAGUCAAAGGCCUCUGCAGUAGCUGGUAGGAGCUGUGAUGAGCUUCGUGCAUUGGCCUUAACCACAGAGAUUUCAUUUAAGGCCGCGUGUGUCUCUCAGAGCUGAUUGUAAUUCCUGUAAGAUGCAUUCACUGUAAGUCCACGCAUUUGCCUAUCUCUCCUUCCAGGUAGCUAUAGAGUCUACUGCCUUGAACGGGGACCCCAGGAACAGUUGCUCUCCACACUACAUCCACCACUA